AUCGUUUCGAGGCAUCGCCAAGGCAUCGCUGGUGACCGGUAGAAGGGAAAGGAUUUUCUUUAGUCUGGUGAUAGGUAAUGAGCAACGAAAGGUAUGUAUUAGAGCAGACGUGAAUAGACAGUUAACAGUGUCCAUACGAACAGGGGAAAUUACUCGUGAUUCCUUGAGUAGACUAGAAACGCGUCUCAUCCUCCAGAACACCGUGUAGCCGCAGUGGCUGAUACGUCAGCUCUGACAGAUUUUAGUCGUUUCGAUAACGAUCAAGAACGCUGUUGCGUCAUGCUCACCAUACGCAGUACGACAUGCUCUAUUGGAGAAGCGAUCGAAUUGUUGCAGUUUUCUAGGUCAACAGGCGGGCGAAACCGGUGUUACCGUCUCGUGACAUGUGUACGAUCGAUACAAAAGAUGUUUUGGCUCGUCCAGUACUGGGGCACGUAUCCUCCGUUCUGACCGGAGUGCCUGGUUUACGUUCACGUCCUGGUGAGUGGUCCUGACCGACGCCUACGUUCGGCAGCGGGCUGCGCUUCAGCUACGCAAGCCGUCUAAACGAGUAGAAACGUGCUCCGCAGGUUUCGAAACGCCCUAAAGGCAAUAAUCAAGCUUCUGAAGACGCUCUAGAUCGGAGGAAACGGGUGGAUAUCGGAGGCAUCCAAAAACGUUCAAAGUUUAUCCACAAAGGCGAAGGUUUUGCUCAGAGCAUGUCUUGUGGAUGCUGCGCUCUAUCUGCCCGUUUCCUCGGACAACACUGCCCUUCUAUCAUCUAAUUUUGGCGCAUCAGUCGCUGUACCUGCAGCGCCCACUGGAUAGCAGUCCAUUAAGGUACGCGACGGGAUGCUCCCGUGUACCAAGUCUACCACUUCCCGGUGGCAAUGCGUCUGAAUUCUACUGAAUUGUGUUUCUGGUGAUUACUUGACGACUGGACAGAUUCUUCCUGGAACAACGUGCACCGAAAACAGCGAGCGGUUUGUCCACAGACAAACAGAAACCUGGCGAUGCUCCAAGACGCCCCCAAGGGCCCCAGCUCGUAGCCGGUAAGCGCAAGCACGUCCAAGGAAUCGUAGGACCUUGAACUUCGCGAAACGCGUCGCUGUUCAACUGAUGACGCAGGCAAGCUUGCUAUUCGCAGACUUGCAACAAGUCACCCGAUGCAUCCCUCUCUAUCUCGUUCAGAAUUAUCGCAUGCUUCUCAUCAGUGCAGGUCUUGAAAGACCCUCUCAGAAGAAAGAGAAGUCGAUUUGAAAUUUGGCGAUUGCCUCAUCAUUAUCGUGGAUGAGAGGAACCACGACCGCUCACGAAAUGUGCAGGGUUACUCCAGGCGUGCUCCCUUCUUUCCUCUGCGCCAGCGGGAGCCGAAUCCUCACUGAUCGUCCCGAAGGUCGCGUACGUACAACAUCAGAGAGCAGGCAGCGUUCGUAGACUCGAGCGCGCAGCGGUCACCUGCUAGCCGUACCGCAGCAACGCAAGACAAAAUGGCAAAGCGGGCUCGCCAGUUACAGUCGGAAAGACGCACCCCUGUCCGAGCGCGCUACAUUCUUGGGAUCGUGCGCUGUGCCCGACAAACGCCGCUGAUAGCUCUGAGCCAGCGACACGGGAGCGCACCUCGAACGAGCCACACCCGGAACUCGACACAGCUGACCGCAAUCAAACACGCAGCGCUUGUUGCUCUGGUUCCGUACUGAAACUGCGCUCCGGAUAUAGCUGCUCAUAUGCCAAGCGUGCUGGAUGACGCUCAGCAGACGUUCGGUUGAUCGGUACCCAUUGCGGCUCGUCAGCGAAUAGACGCACAGCCCGAAUGUAGUUGCUACUGUCCACUGUGAAGCGGUGAUAAAUUCCUGCCGGUAAUACCA